GGCCCCGUAGCUCAACCGGAUAGAGCAAGCGCCUUCUAAGCGCUAGGUUGCAGGUUCGAGUCCUGCCGGGGUCGCCA
rnacentral:tRNA from 1 species